UUCUUUGAGAGUUUGAUCUUGGCUCAGGACGAACGCUGGCGGCGUGCCUAACACAUGCAAGUCGAACGAUAUAGUGGCGGACGGGUGAGUAACACGUAAGCAACCUACCCUCAAGACUGGCACAACUAGCCGAAAGGUUAGCUAAUUCCAGAUGUGGUCACCGGGCGACAUCUCCUGGUGAUUAAACCCCGCAAGGGGCUUAAGGAUGGGCUUGCGUCCUAUCAGCUAGUUGGCGAGGUAACGGCUCACCAAGGCAAUGACGGGUAGCUGGUCUGAGAGGACGACCAGUCACAAGGGAACUGAGACACGGUCCCUACU
rnacentral:rRNA from 1 species